AAGCGUCCCUGUCUGUUUCUUCCCUGCCCUGCCCCCAACGCAGGUGUGAAUCAGCCCAGGUGAGGAAACUGACUCACCUUCCCACCUGGGCCUGGAGAAAGGGCCACUUUCCCUUCCCCGGGGUUGGAAUCAAACUUGAACUUGACUGUUAACUUCCAGAAGAGAGUGACUCUGACGCGUUGGCGGCGGGUGGGGGCGGCUACAAUGCAAAGACUUGGGGAUGUCAGGUCCUUGGAGGAAGACACCAAGUGCCGGGCUCAUGGCAUCCACUUGGCAGACAUGACCUUAGAAGAUCCUCGAGCCACCUGUCGGGCACACCGGGAGCGGCCCGAAUCUUUGCGUCCUCGCCGCAAGGCUCCGAGGACCGUCUGAACCAGUGUGGGUUCUGACUCCUCUACCCCUUCGCCAGCCCGAGCCUCGGUUUCCCUCAUCUGCCUGCCUGUCCUGCCUGCCUCCCAGGGUGAACUGAGCUGAAGGAUUCUCUAGUGGAAACACUGGGGGCAGCUGGUGGGUGUGGAGGAGACUUGGGGGCAGGGUUCUUGCCGAGAAGCAGUAGGACAGGGCACAGGACUCCUAACUCAGGGAGUGACUUUGGCCAAAUCCUUUCUUCUCUCUCAGCCUCAGUUUCCCCAUCUAUAAAACAAUACGGCCUCAGCGAAUGCCCAGGACCUUGGGGGGACCUCUAAUGGUCCACGUGUGACUCUGCCGUCCUUCAUUCGACGAGCCCUCGCUGAUGGACAUAAGGUCGUUUCCAGCUUUUCUCCAUCAGACACAAUGCCACGACGAACGUCUUUGCCCUGUCCCUUUGGCACCUGCUGGGUGGUUCCUAGAGCGUAGAAGUUGCCUUAGGAGAGUUACUGGGUCAAAAGGUAAGCUCGUUUACAGUUUGAUUGGUUUCAUCAGAUCGAGUCAACAUGUAUUAGACAUGUAGACUAUUCGGGCACCUGGGCAGCUCAGUUGGUUGAGCAUCCGACUUCAGCUCAGGUCAUGAUCUCACGGUUCGUGAG